UACGAAGGGGGCGAGCGUUGUUCGGAGUUACUGGGCGUAAAGGGCUCGUAGGUGGCCAACUAAGUCAGACGUGAAAUCCCCAGGCUUAACCUGGGAACUGCGUCUGAUAUUGGAUGGCUUGAAUUCGGGAGAGGGAUGCAGAAUUCCAGGUGUAGCGGUGAAAUGCGUAGAUAUCUGGAGGAAUACCGGUGGCGAAGGCGGCAUCCUGGACCGAGAUUGACACUGAUGAGCGAAAGCCAGGGGAGCAAACGGG
rnacentral:rRNA from 1 species